AACAGAACUCUGGCAAGUAUUGUUCAGAUCUCAUUUCUGUCCACAUGUAGAAUCCUGACAAGUCAUAUGUGAAGCACUGGCCACCAAGAAAAGAAUUUCUACAGCUGCAGAACACUGGGUUCCAUUUUGGACAGUUGUGAGAAAGAUAUGCAUUUCUUUCAACAGAAGUCCAGAGGCACUGGAAAUAUUCUUACUAAAGAAAUGCCAAAAAUUGUGCAUAGAAGACUGUCAUCAGAAUGAUUGCUUUGGGGCAGAAAAGGCAAUUCUGGAUAAUUAGAUCUUAUGGCAGGCUUUCUUACAUCCGGUAUAUAAAGAACCAUCAGCGUUUCAAGAGAAGUCAAGGAAAUGAAAUCCUUUCACCGUAAAAGCACUAAACAGAAUGGAAUUGGCUGCAAGAGCUUGAUCAUCAGCUUUACCCUGUUUAGUGUUGGGAGGAUAACUUUUGUGAACUUUUGAAAAUUUUGCAAUAAUUAAUCUUGACUGCAUGCUUGGCAAUACUUUCCCAAUAAAGGUUUAGUUUAACUUGGCA
rnacentral:lncRNA from 1 species